rnacentral:rRNA from 1 species
ACUCUCGGCAAUGGAUAUCUUGGUUCUUGCAUCGAUGAAAAACAUAGUGAAAUGCGAUACUUGGUGUGAAUUGUAGAAUCCCAUGAACCAUUGAGUCUUUGAACGCAAGUUGCGCCUGAAGCCAUUAGGUUAAAGGCACGUCUGCCUAAGCGUC